CGCGGCGGCACGAGUUCAUACAGAGCGCCGCGGCUGCGGAGCGAGAGCAGUGUCUCGCGCGCGCGCGCGCUGGGAGUCGGCGGCACCGCUGCGCGAGUCGAGGCGGCGCACGGCAGGCAUGAAGGCGAGUUCCCAUUGGCUCUGACGUUUAAAAGUCCUUUUUCAUUCAAAAAGAGGGGGGUUUGCCCGCGAUCAACAUGGCAGAGCCGUCGGCCGCGGGACCCGCUGCAAAAAUGGCGGCGCGUAGCCGGGUCCGAGCCCUGACUCUGGCUUUCUUGGCUGUCAUCGCGUGUUCCGUGGGCUCCGCGAGCGCGAAGGAUGGCGCGGAGGAGACGGUCAUCAUCGGUCUGCGGCUGGAGGACACGGACGACAUCUCCUUCAUGGACAGGGGCUACCUGCGGGUCAGCGAGAGGUCCCGCGUCCGGCUGCGGGUCUACGGGCAGAACAUCAACAACGAGACGUGGUCCAAGAUCGCGUUCACGGAGCACGAGCGCUCCCGAGCCCUCGCGAGCGUCCGCAGCCCGUCGCGCGACAACGGGAGCCGCGAGGAGGCGUCCACCUUCCACCCGUGCGGCAUCAGGACCUCGGACAUCAUCAUCCUGCCCAACAUCGUCCUCAACAGGAAGACGUCGGGCAUCGUGGAGAUCGAGGUGAAGCCGCUGCGCAAGACGGAGCGGAGCAAGGAGUACUACCUGUGCAUCGCCACCUCCACGCCGGCGCCGGGGCUGCACGACCCGUGGAGCGAGAACACCUGGAUCUACCACGACGGGGACGACACCAAAGUGGUGGUGGUGGAGGAGAAGAAGUUCCUGCUGCCCUUCUGGCUCCAGGUGAUCUUCAUCUCCAUGCUCCUGUGCCUGUCGGGCAUGUUCAGCGGGCUGAACCUGGGGCUCAUGGCGCUGGACCCCAUGGAGCUCCAGAUCGUGCAGAACUGUGGCACGGAGAAGGAGAAGAACUACGCCAGGAAGAUCGAGCCCGUGCGAAGCCAGGGCAACUACCUGCUGUGCUCGCUGCUCCUGGGCAACGUGCUCGUGAACACCACCUUGACCAUCCUGCUGGACGACAUAGCGGGCUCGGGCCUCAUCGCCGUGGUCAUGUCCACCAUCGGCAUCGUCAUCUUCGGCGAAAUCGUCCCUCAGGCCAUCUGCUCCAGGCACGGUCUCGCCGUUGGCGCCAACACCAUAUUCUUGACCAAAUUCUUCAUGCUGCUCACCUUCCCGGCUUCCUACCCCGUGAGCAAGCUUCUGGAUUACCUUCUGGGUCAGGAGAUCGGCACGGUGUACAACAGGGAGAAGCUGCUGGAGAUGCUGAGGGUCACGGAUCCCUACAACGACCUGGUGAAAGAGGAGCUCAACAUCAUCCAGGGUGCGCUGGAGCUGCGGACAAAGACCGUGGAAGACGUGAUGACCCCGCUGCGGGACUGCUUCAUGAUCACAGCAGACGCGAUCCUGGACUUCAACACCAUGUCUGAGAUCAUGGAGAGCGGCUACACGCGCAUACCCGUGUUCGAGGGCGACCGCUCCAACAUCGUGGACCUGCUCUUCGUCAAGGACCUGGCCUUCGUGGAUCCGGACGACUGCACGCCCCUGAAGACCAUCACCAAGUUCUACAGCCACCCGCUGCACUUCGUGUUCAAUGACACCAAGCUGGACGCCAUGCUGGAGGAGUUCAAGAAAGGUAAAUCCCACCUGGCGAUUGUCCAGAGAGUGAACAACGAGGGGGAGGGGGAUCCCUUCUACGAAGUGCUGGGCAUAGUCACCCUGGAGGAUGUCAUCGAGGAAAUCAUCAAGUCCGAGAUCUUGGACGAGACCGACUUGUAUACUGACAACAAAACAAAGAAGAAAAUCACCCAUCGGGAAAGGAAGCAGGAUUUCUCGGCCUUCAAGCCCACGGACAAUGAGAUGAAGGUUAAAAUAUCACCUCAGCUUCUACUGGCUACACUGCGUUUCUUAGCAACAGAGGUGGAGCCCUUCGGUCCGGCGCAGAUGUCCGAGAAGAUCCUUCUGCGACUCCUGAAGCACCCCAACGUCAUCCAGGAGCUGAAGUACGACGAGAAGAACAAGAGGGCCCCGGAGAACUACCUCUUCCAUCGCAAUAAGCCCGUGGACUACUUCAUCCUGAUCCUUCAGGGGAAGGUGGAAGUGGAGGCAGGGAAAGAGGGGAUGAAGUUUGAAGCGGGACCUUUCUCCUCUUAUGGAACGAUGGCCCUGACCGCAUCCCCUGUUCCUCUUUCUCUGUCUCGUACCUUUGUGGUCAGUAGGGCAGAGUCGCUUGCAGGAUCGCCAGCAGAGAAUAAGUCUCCCCCGAGACCUUUCGGGCUGAACCACUCGGACUCUCUGAACCGCAGCGACCGCAUCGAUGCCAUCACGCCCACGCUGGGCAGCAGCAACAACCAGCUCAACGCCUUCCUGCAGAUCUACAUGCCAGACUACUCGGUCAGAGCUGUGUCAGACCUGCAGUACAUCAAGGUCACGAGGCAGCAGUACCAGAAUGCCCUGAUGGCCUCGCGGAUGGACAAGACGCCGCAGUCGUCGGACAGCGAGUACACCAAGAUCGAAUUGACUAUGCCAGAGCCCAACGAGGGCCUCCCGGACGAGACGGCCAACCUGCUGAACCAGCAGCAGAACUGCGUGGCCCACAGCAAGUCGAACCACACCGCACACCACGAGGGGCCCAUCUAGCCCCCCGCCCCCCCCCCUCCCCCCCUCGUCACUGCUCAGCCCCUCUCCCCCAACCACGUGCAAGAGAGCCCGCGUCGGGCCGCUCGGACCCCGACCGCCCACCCGGACGGACCAACCGCACGUCCCCAGACCAAAGAGUUUGGUCCCUUUUUCUUCAGGGCGGUGCAACGGAUGACGGAGGAACACAAAGGACACAAAGAAAUGGCGAGAGGUGACGAAAUGGCGGAGUAACCCUUGGGCCGCUCCUUUCUUUUCAACUUGACCACAGUGCUGCUGGAGGUGUUGUCCACACAUGCCAUGGGGAACAAGGGCAGGACUCAUUUACUGAUGCUGCAUGUUUAUUUUGUCUUAACAAUUUGCAUUUGUUGGCUAAUGACCUGACAAUAUUGCACAGUAGUUUGAAAUAACUACAUUUAUCCGGCAUGCUGAGUGUAACUAAAUUUGCAACGACACACAACUUGAGAUUAAAAGGAAAAACACUGGCCACAAAAAUCCACUGUAUUCACUACCCUUGUGUACAUUGCAGAUGACUGAGAAGUGCUAAUUAAUUUGAGUUGCCUUUUGAUGACACGAAAAUAUACGAGAGAGUGUACUUCCUGUGAAUUCCAUUUCAUUUCUUUAACACUGGAUGCGUUUGUUCCCGUCUGUUAUGAGUCGAAUGUCCUGCUUUCCGGUUACCGCGUAAUUGACGCUUUUCUAAUGUGUCUGUAAUGAGUGUCUUAAAUGUUGCCAUUGAGAGAAAUUCUAGUGGAAAAACUGUAAUAUAUAUUUAUUAGUGUUAUCAUUGGUUCAUUUCCUGCAUUACUCUGUGCUGCUCAUAUUUGCUAGUAUUUACCGAGUUCUUCUAUGCAGGGCUGUUCAGAGGGCUUCCAGUGGCACCCAGUGCUGCACAUGUAGGUGGACAGCAGGCGCCCCCUGCUGGUGGACUGUGAGGCUGCGCUGCUGUUCAUUCCCGUUGGUGGGGCAGGUGGGGCAGGUGGGGCAGGUGGGCAGCCUGGUCUGCCUCUGUCCACGGCCGCACGAGAAUGCACACAGGCUUCUUACACGGGUUUUAGUGCUGGUAACGCACAGCAAGCACGGGCCCGUUUCCCGAAACGCACACUCAAGCCGUCGCGUUUUAAAAAUGCCGUCUAAAAGUUCCAGCAUCUUCCGUUUCUCGGAAGUCAGCCGUUAACAAUGUUAUUUUGGUCCAAAGUCUCUGAUUCCACAUGUAGUUGUUUAACUCUUUGUUCCCAAUAUUCUGUACUGUACCUUGACUCGUUAAAUCUGUUCAAGCUCGUAAAUAGGUAAUGAAUUUGGUGAGGUCAGUUGCUGCAGUCCUGACCUUCCUGUGAUCUGGAAUUUGCACAUAUCUGUUGGAGAAAAAUGAUUGUCCAGUAUUUGGAGGGGGGCCAUAGCAGCAGAGGAUCGAGAAAUGAAAUUUUUAUUUUUUGAUGACACAUGCCUCACAGGUCUGGGGCUGCGGGUUCAGACAUGGGUUGAAAUAUGGCUCAGUCCAUG